rnacentral:tRNA from 1 species
GCCUGAGUGGCUCAAUCGGUUGGGCGCCCGACUUCAGCUCAGGUCAUGAUCUCGUGGUUCAUGGGUUCAAGCCCCACGUCAGGCU